GCUACCCUUACACGAAUAAGAAGUCCUUCGGCCGGCAUCGAUCGUCCAGAAAAAACUCAAAGAAAAUUGUUCAAGGCCUAAUCGUUCAACUUAUCCGACUUACGUGCGAUCGAUCAAAAUGGGACAUCUACACUUUUUAUUCUACUUGUUGUACAUCAGCAUCCUCAUGGCAAUAGGGCUCAAAUUCAGUUACGGCCACCUUUGGACUUUUUUGGAAAUACUGAUUACAUGGAUGAUUGAUGGCCAAUUUAUUGAGGUAUCCAAUUCAAGCAACUUUGUAAUCGACGCAAUGUGCGCAUGGAACAAUCAGAAAACGACACUAACAGCCAUUUUUUAUUUUGUGCUACCCAUGUUAACAAAGCUGUACAUACUGAUCCCCUUCUUUGUGUAUAUAUUUUUUAAAUGUAAGAGUCUACUCCACUCGACGCGACAUUGCAUACAAGUCACCGGUAAAUGGAAUGAAAUUGGAUAUUUGACCAACUGGUCUUUGAAUAAUUCGAAUAAUUAAUACUCGUUUAUCGUUGGUAAAACACUAAUAAUAUUAAAAAAUUUAAUAUCUUGUCUUACUAACCGGUUACGAUGACCAAUAGUACAACCUAGUUUUUGCGAUACGUCGGUGUAGAAAUUAAUAUAAACUGACGUUAGACUUAGA